rnacentral:rRNA from 1 species
GAUGAACGCUGGCGGCGUGCUUAACACAUGCAAGUCGAACGGAAAGGCCCAAGCUUGCUUGGGUACUCGAGUGGCGAACGGGUGAGUAACACGUGGGUGAUCUGCCCUGCACUUCGGGAUAAGCCUGGGAAACUGGGUCUAAUACCGGAUAGGACGAUGGUUUGGAUGCCAUUGUGGAAAGUUUUUUCGGUGUGGGAUGAGCUCGCGGCCUAUCAGCUUGUUGGUGGGGUAAUGGCCUACCAAGGCGUCGACGGGUAGCCGGCCUGAGAGGGUGUACGGCCACAUUGGGACUGAGAUACGGCCCAGACUCCUACGGGAGGCAGCAGUGGGGAAUAUUGCACAAUGGGCGCAAGCCUGAGGCAGCGACGCCGCGUGGGGGAUGACGGCCUUCGGGUUGUAAACUCCUUUCGCUAGGGACGAAGCGUUUUUGUGACGGUACCUGGAGAAGAAGCACCGGCUAACUACGUG